rnacentral:lncRNA from 8 species
AGAAGCAACAUCUAGUGUCAGGAGUUCACCUAGGGGUCAUGAUUGGGGCUGUAUCAAAUGAUUGAUGUAUUAGAAUAAUUUAUUAUGCUUAUGUUGUAUUAAUAGAAGGGGAGGGGUUAUAAGACCCCGCCCUCCUUACAUUUAUAAGGUCCUUGACUACAGAUUAACAAUAUAUAUACAUUAUGAGGUUUAAUAUUGUUCCACAGUACUUUUCUAGGCUCUAUCUCUUAUGAAGAAACUGUCUGAGAAAUGUGUGUAAGAGAUAGGAGUCAGACAUUCCACUAUAAAUCAACGUGGACAUUUACUGCUAAGCUUUUAGAUAACACACUAAGAGCCUUGUUUAUAUAGCUUUGUAGGCAUGGUUUUGGUCUAAUGAGUAAAAGAUAAUGACAUAGGCAGUGACAUCACGAGGGCUGGACUUCGGAUUUGAUAAAAUAACAUUGGACCUUUUCUUUGACGCAGAACUUACUCGGAAACAUUCGUGCUAUGUUCCUGAUUGUCAACUUCUGUCUGCAAUUGCAUUAACAAAGGUUUCUGAAUGAUUUAAUUAAAGAUAUUGUCAUAAUACUAAUUUCACCAAUGAGCCAAUGAUUGACAAGGAACAAGGAGGAACGAACCCCAACAUUUGGCAAGCUUGCCAGGAGUGAGUGUCACCCCGGUUGGCGGAGAUUCCACACCACCAUGUUGCCAGAGCUCAAAAUUAAAUAAGGUAACCAUGAUAACACCAAUAGCCCUGCGGGUAUAGGAAAGGUCCGGCUAGCAUCAUCUCUCCCACCGCAAGCAUCUCCCAGAGUGGAAGCCAUGGAUGAGCGACUGGAGGGAGAGCAGGGCCCCGAGAACAUCUGGAGGAUGAAGAAGGUCCGAGCCAAAGGACAGGAGCAGAAGGCUGAGACCAAAGGUCAGAAGAACCAACAGAGGGUUCAGCCACAGAACCUGAAGAGUCAUCAGAUAUCGAGGAAACCAUCAUACACACACUCUACGAGUCACACUCAAGUUCACAGUCCUGGUUGUCAAGUAAUCCGGAAGAAUUUGGGCAACGACAUUGCCAUUGCCAGUUUUUCUAUUGUCUCUUUUUGGUCCAUUUAGAUUGUACACAAAAAAAUGUACAAAAUGUUAUGGUUAAAAAUGUUCAUGUUUUACUGUGGCUUGUAGGCUCCUAAGUGGACCAUAAGGUUAAAAACCAAACCCCCCCCCAAAAAACUGUCACAACGUUGACAGAAGGUGGCGCCUCUCCUCGUUCGGGCGGCGCUCGGCGGUCGUCGUCGCCGGCCUACUAGCUGCCACCGAUCCUCUUUUCAUUUUAUUUUGGUGAUGUCUGUUAUAUGUGUGCACCUGUAUUGAGUUAGGUCGUUAGUGGGGGGGUUAUUUAGUCUGUCUGUUUAGGUUUGGGGAUUGUGCGGGAUUGUUUUUUGUCUGCGUUGUUUAGGUUGGGGUUUAGGUUUUCCUCUGCCAUUUGUUUAUUAAUGUAUAUGAGUUUUCCUGGGCUGCACCCCUACUCUGUUUACAGGCUCUUAACCUUUUGAUGUAUUUCGCCCUGCCUUGCAUUUUUUUUGGCAGUUUUGGACUGAUACCUAUUAAAACGUGUUUUCACGGACCUUGGUCUCCUUCGCCUGACUUCACCCCUCCUGCUUAUUUGAGUAUCGUGACAGUAACUCUGCCAGAGUGUCUCUUUUGGGUCACUUUUGCCGGUCCCAAGCCCGGAUAAAGGAGGAGGGUUGGAAUUGAGACAACAACAAAAAACAAGAAUCGACAGAAGAAAGUUCAUUUGUAGUUCUAAACAUAUUUGCAGUGUUUUUUACUCACUUUUUGUCUCUCCCACAAUGUUAUUCCUCUCUCCUACAGCGUCAAUGACAAUUACAUGCACACGGCAAAUUAGGCAAAUUAGGUGAUGACGUCAUUUAGCGACUUUCCAGUGGGUCAGAAGUUUACAUACACUAAGUUGACUGUGCCUUUAAACAGCUUGGAAAAUUCCAGAAAAUUAUGUCAUGGCUUCAGAAGCUUCUGAUAGGCUAUUUGAAAUAAUUUAGGUCAAUUGGAGGUAUACCUGUGGAUGUAUUUCAAGGCCUACCUUCAAACUCAGUGCCUCUUUGCUUGACAUCAUGGGAAAAUCUAAACAAAUCAGCCAAGACCUCAGAAAAAAAUUGUAGACCUCCACAAGUCUGGUUCAUCCUUGGGAGCAAUUUCCAAACGCCUGAAGAUAC